rnacentral:rRNA from 1 species
UACGAAGGGGGCUAGCGUUGCUCGGAAUCACUGGGCGUAAAGCGCACGUAGGCGGACUCUUAAGUCAGGGGUGAAAUCCUGGAGCUCAACUCCAGAACUGCCUUUGAUACUGAGAGCCUUGAGUCCGGAAGAGGUAAGUGGAACUGCGAGUGUAGAGGUGAAAUUCGUAGAUAUUCGCAAGAACACCAGUGGCGAAGGCGGCUUACUGGUCCGGUACCGACGCUGAGGUGCGAAAGCGUGGGGAGCAAACAGG